UACGGGGGGGGCAAGCGUUGUUCGGAAUUACUGGGCGUAAAGGGCUCGUAGGCGGCCAACUAAGUCUGUCGUGAAAUCCCCGGGCUCAACCUGGGAAUUGCGAUGGAGACUGCAAGGCUAGAAUCUGGCAGAGGGGGGUAGAAUUCCACGUGUAGCAGUGAAAUGCGUAGAGAUCGGGAGGAACAUCUGUGGCGAAGGCGACUGCCUGGACCAGCACUGACACUGAGGCACGAAAGCGUGGGGAGCAAACAGG
rnacentral:rRNA from 1 species